rnacentral:rRNA from 1 species
UCAAAAACAUGUCUUUUUGAUAAUAAUUUAAAGUCUAAUCUGCCCACUGAUAUUAUUAUUAAAGGGCUGCAGUAUAUUGACUGUACAAAGGUAGCAUAAUCAUUAGUCUUUUAAUUGAAGACUUGUAUGAAAGAUUUGAUGAAAUAUAAACUGUCUCUAAAUUAAAAAUAAAAUUUAAUUUUUUAGUUAAAAAGCUAAAAUAUUAUUAAAAGACGAGAAGACCCUAUAAAGUUUUAUAAUUUAUUUAUUUAAUAUUAAAUAUAUAUUUAAAUAUAAUAAUUAAAUAAAUUAUUUUAUUGGGGUGAUAGAAAAAUUUAAUAAACUUUUUUUAAAUAUAAACAUAUAUAAGUGAUAAAAUGAUCCAUUAUUAAUGAUUAAAAGAAAAAAUUACUUUAGGGAUAACAGCGUAAUAUUUUUUUUUAGUACGAAUAAAAAAAAAAGUUUGCGACCUCGAUGUUGGAUUAAGAUAAAAUUUAAAUGCAAAAGUUUAAAAUUUUGAUCUGUUCGAUCAUUAAAAUCUUACAUGAUCUGAGCU